UACAGAGGGCGCGAGCGUUGUCCGGAAUCACUGGGCGUAAAGGGCGCGUAGGUGGCCACCAUAAGGCCGCGGUGAAAGUUCGGGGCUCAACCCCGGAUCGGCCGCGGCGACUGUGGGGCUCGGGUACUGUAGAGGCAGAUGGAAUUCCGGGUGUAGCGGUGGAAUGCGUAGAGAUCCGGAAGAACACCAGUGGCGAAGGCGGUCUGCUGGGCAGUGGGCGUC
rnacentral:rRNA from 1 species